UGCUUUGUCCCAUACACAGAAUGUGCCUGGAGCUGUUGGCACUAUGGAGGGUGGAGAAAGAAAUAUUUCUCAUUGGCUCCAUGCAGAUGAAGAAACAUAAUCCCAAAUGCAGCUCCCUGGCUCUUCCACAUGCGAACAUUUGAAUUUCCUGUUGGCUCAGAGUGUUUGCAUUGCAAGUGACAUCUGGCUGACAGGAACUUGGAGAAAUGGGAUACGAAGUGAAUGCUGUAGUUACCACAGCAUCAUAUUUAUCAAAAGGCUUAAGGUACUAAGACAGAAAGAAAACUACAUAACUGUAGAAUGGACAGUUCUAAAACUGGAGAUGCACAUUCUGCAUUCUCGGCAGCACAAAAAUGUAGAAAGAGAGAAGGAAAAAUGA
rnacentral:lncRNA from 1 species